rnacentral:rRNA from 1 species
UACGAAGGGGGCUAGCGUUGCUCGGAAUUACUGGGCGUAAAGCGCACGUAGGCGGAUUGUUAAGUCGGGGGUGAAAUCCUGGAGCUCAACUCCAGAACUGCCUUCGAUACUGGCGAUCUCGAGUUCGGGAGAGGUGAGUGGAACUGCGAGUGUAGAGGUGAAAUUCGUAGAUAUUCGCAAGAACACCAGUGGCGAAAGGC